rnacentral:lncRNA from 1 species
CCCGCCUCUAUUUGUCAGGUCUUGAGGAAAGUUGUAAAGAGCCUGCACUUUUGCUAAGUGCCCCAGGGACCCACUUCUUUGCACCCCCCACUGCUGGACUGGGCUCAGUUUCAUCUUCUCAGAGCCCCUCUUCCUCCAUCCGAUGGAAGGCGGUUCCUCGCCUGCCAGUCUCUGCCUUGGGUUCUUCUUCGUUUCUUUCCUCCAUCACAAUUUGUGAUGAGGUUGUUGAUUUUUUAAAAGCAUUUGUGUCCUCUACUCCUUGAACAUCAGCUCCUUAAGGACAGGAGACCCUGUCUGUCUGAGGAGUUACAGCCUGCCGCCUACUGAAUUCACAUGGUGGAGUCUUGGUAAAGCUGGAGUCUGAACGCAGAAAGUUCUCAAGUUUUCCAUGCCUGCUCAGGAAAAGGAGCAAAGCAUCAAUUGUGCAGGCUGUAAUAUGUAAAACACAAAGAAAUAUGAAAGGAUCCCUCAGGAACUUUAACUUCCUAUAUUGGUGAAAAAUGCUUCAAAGUUAGCAAAAGACCAACUUCUAGAGCCUUUGGAAUAUUUUUGAAGGCAAGAGCUUAUGUGAUAUCAGAUGCUGUAAAUUCUUAGCUCACGUCUACAACAGUAUGCUUUCAAUAAACGUUUUCUCUUGCUG